rnacentral:rRNA from 1 species
UACGUAGGGUGCGAGCGUUAAUCGGAAUUACUGGGCGUAAAGCGUGCGCAGGCGGUUUUGUAAGUCAGAGGUGAAAGCCCAGGGCUCAACCCUGGAAUUGCCUUAAGACUGCAUCGCUAGAAUUGUGGAGAGGUAAGUGGAAUUCCGAGUGUAGAGGUGAAAUUCGUAGAUAUUCGGAAGAACACCAGUGGCGGAGGCGACUUACUGGACACAUAUUGACGCUGAGGUGCGAAAGCGUGGGAGCAAACAGG